GCUGGGCCUGGUGGCGCAGGCCUGUAAUCCCAGUGGCUCAGGAGGCUGAGGCAGGAGGAUCGGGAGUUCAAAGCCAGCCUCAGCAAAAGUGAGGUGCUAAGCAACUCAGUGAGACCCUGUGUCUA
rnacentral:sRNA from 1 species